UACGGAGGGUGCAAGCGUUAUCCGGAUUCACUGGGUUUAAAGGGUGCGUAGGCGGGCAGGUAAGUCCGUGGUGAAAUCUCCGAGCUUAACUCGGAAACUGCCAUGGAUACUAUUUGUCUUGAAUGUUGUGGAGGUGAGCGGAAUAUGUCAUGUAGCGGUGAAAUGCUUAGAUAUGACAUAGAAACACCAAUUGCGAAGGCAGCUCACUACACAAAUAUUGACGCUGAGGCACGAAAGCGUGGGGAUCAA
rnacentral:rRNA from 1 species